rnacentral:lncRNA from 1 species
AUUAUAUACACCUUACUUACUUAGGAAACCAGGUUAUAAAAAGAGAUGCUGUUCACAGACAGUAGCUGUUACGAUCUUUCAGGGUAAGUAACAGUAAUGCUGUUAACUAGUCUAUCAAAAUGCUAGGUGAGGCUCUAAAAUGUGAGGAGGCAAUACUUUAAAGUCAUUUAUUAUCCAUAUUGCUGAUGAAGUACUGUGGAGGAUUAAAAGAAAAAAUGGUUUUGAACUUUCAGACAAUUUUGUUUGGUUGUCCUUUGCAACUGGGAAGGCCUUGUUUUAAAAUUCUGCUUUCAAAACAAAACAACACAAUGAGACUGAUGUUUGAAUGUAGUCAUCUGGCACUAAGAGCUGAAGCUAUGAAAUCUGAAUGUUGCAAGAUUAAUGAUGAAAUUCUGGCAGCACUGCGUGAGUGACAAUCCAAGUGAAAUCCAAGUUUCCCACAGUUACCUCUAUGUGCUCCCCCUGCUUUUUGAAGGAACUCACCACUUCUUUCUGCAAAACAUUUAAUUCCUCUUUCUGUACAAAACAGUUCGUGAUAUUAGGUAAUCCUGUGAAUCCCCCUGCUACCAGAGGAGGAAGGGAGGCCCUUCACUCCCAGCAGAACAGCAUCACUGUGGCUCCAGCUGCACAGGUAGCGGACUGGCUGCCAGAAGUUUCUGUGAUUCUAAGGGAACCACGUCUCUGGAUGCUUCUUCUUUGGCUUGCCCAGCUCAUGAUCGCUCAGAGAGACAAAAUUUAGAUCUUUCAGAGUGUGAAAUGAAACGUUUGUGGUGAGCAAUAUCUAUACUUCUCUUUCAUCAGUGAAUUUCCAAGACCCUUCUGCUACUAUCAUAUUGCUGCUAGUUGCCUGCACCUGUCCACAAGUUAACCUAUCUGCUUCCAGUCCUCUUUUUACAGGAUGCCACAUCACGUCCAAUUGAAAUGAUAUAAAAGGUUUUUCAUGUCAAGCAUAACACAAAAUCCCAGUUUAGACUGCUUAGAUAUGCCAUGUGUUGCAUAUGGGCAUGUGGAAAACCACGCCUCACACCCAAUGGCUGUGGGCAGACAGAGAUCAAAGGUGAAUCCAAGCCCUGAGGUCAGGAUGAGGUAGUGUCAGAAAGUGGAGAAAUCCAUGGAUGAACCUGGCCAGAGCGCACAGCACAGCCAAUGACCAGCAGAGCAAGACUACACCAGGAACUGGAGCUUUGAUCACUGAUAAGUGAAGAAAGACACGAAUGAGAAAGAGCUGCUCAUGGAACUUCAGUACAUAGCACAUUGGUGGGGAAGCUUGUCAGUGUGGAUCAUAAAUUGUUUUCAGCUGGCCAAACUCAUCAGGCCUGAUGUUGUCACGGAGCCUAGCUGGGAACAGCUGAAGGCUGAUAAUUAUCAUCUGGCUGGGAGCAGGUCAGGAUACAAUUCUUAUGCAUGUUCACAGCUCUCCUGAAAUGGACCGAAUAUAUUAGGUCAGCUCCAAGAACAUUGCAGCACUCUUUGCUUGCUGACCAAGCUGAUUCAAAAUGGUCCUAUUAGUUCUCUUCAAAACAGCAAAAUUUUGAAGCCUGUGUUAUUAUGUUGACAAUAAACUACUUUGAUUCAUCA